rnacentral:rRNA from 1 species
AGCGUAGACGGCAAGGCAAGUCUGAUGUGAAAACCCAGGGCUUAACCCUGGGACUGCAUUGGAAACUGUCUGGCUCGAGUGCCGGAGAGGUAAGCGGAAUUCCUAGUGUAGCGGUGAAAUGCGUAGAUAUUAGGAAGAACACCAGUGGCGAAGGCGGCUUACUGGACGGUAACUGACGUUGAGGCUCGAAAGUGUGGGUAGCAAACA